rnacentral:siRNA from 1 species
CGAAACCAUAUCAAGCUGCUCA